rnacentral:rRNA from 1 species
GAUGAACGCUGGCGGCGUGCUUAACACAUGCAAGUCGAACGGAAAGGCUCCUGCUUGCAGGGGUACUCGAGUGGCGAACGGGUGAGUAACACGUGGGUGAUCUGCCCUGCACUUCGGGAUAAGCCUGGGAAACUGGGUCUAAUACCGGAUAGGACGAUGGUUUGGAUGCCAUUGUGGAAAGUUUUUUCGGUGUGGGAUGAGCUCGCGGCCUAUCAGCUUGUUGGUGGGGUAAUGGCCUACCAAGGCGUCGACGGGUAGCCGGCCUGAGAGGGUGUACGGCCACAUUGGGACUGAGAUACGGCCCAGACUCCUACGGGAGGCAGCAGUGGGGAAUAUUGCACAAUGGGCGCAAGCCUGAUGCAGCGACGCCGCGUGGGGGAUGACGGCCUUCGGGUUGUAAACUCCUUUCGCUAGGGACGAAGCGCAUGUGACGGUACCUGGAGAAGAAGCACCGGCUAACUACGUG